rnacentral:rRNA from 1 species
AAUGAUUUAUUUAAUGGCCGCGGUAUUUUAACCGUGCAAAGGUAGCAUAAUCAUUAGUCUAUUAAUUGUGGACUUGUAUGAAUGGUUGGACGAAAUAUUUACUGUCUCAUUUUGUUUAUUAUAAUUUAAUUUUUGAGUUAAAAAGCUCAAAUUUUUUUAUAGGACGAGAAGACCCUAUAGAUCUUUAUUAUUUGGUUUUUGAUUUAUUUUUGGUUUAUUUAUUUUAUUAAUUGUUAGGUUAUUUUGUUGGGGUGACAUCGGGAUAAUUUUAACUCCUGUUAUUUUUUUUUCAUUAAUUUAUGUUUAUUUGACCUUGUAUUAUUGUAUUAAGAUUUAGAUACCUUAGGGAUAACAGCGUUAUUUUCUUUGAGAGUUCAUAUCGACAAGGAAGAUUGCGACCUCGAUGUUGGAUUAAGAUUAUUAUUAGGUGUAGCCGCUUAAUUAUUAGGUCUGUUCGACCUUUAAAUUCUUACAUGAUCUGA